rnacentral:rRNA from 1 species
GGAUAUUGCGCAAUGGGCGAAAGCCUGAUCCAGCCAUGCCGCGUGUGUGAAGAAGGUCUUCGGAUUGUAAAGCACUUUAAGUUGGGAGGAAGGGUAGUAGCUUAAUACGUUGCUAUUUUGACGUUACCGACAGAAUAAGCACCGGCUACCUCUGUUCCAGCCGCCGCGGUAAUACAGAGGGUGCAAGCGUUAAUCGGAAUUACUGGGCGUAAAGCGCGCGUAGGUGGUUGGUUAAGUUGGAUGUGAAAGCCCCGGGCUCAACCUGGGAACUGCAUCCAAAACUGGCCGGCUAGAGUACGGUAGAGGGCGGUGGAAUUUCCUGUGUAGCGGUGAAAUGCGUAGAUAUAGGAAGGAACACCAGUGGCGAAGGCGACCACCUGGACUGAUACUGACACUGAGGUGCGAAAGCGUGGGGAGCAAACAGG